AAUAAAACAGUGUUCUGCAGCCAAACAAAGUGGUCGGAUGAAAUGAGAACAAAUGGCGCAGUUGGAGAAAAAGGCUAUCAAAACUAAUAUAUGAUGUUAGAAACAAAGGCCGUUGUUCCCUUUACCUUGGGAAUAUGUAGUGACUGGAACGGAAUAUACAGGUGCUUUCGAGUGCAGAUAUUUAUUGAAUCCCUACUGGUGGUCAGACCCUGUUCUGGGAACCAGGGUUGCAAUAGUGAACACAACAUACUAAAUGCCCUGUCCUUAUAAAGCCUGUAUGGAAACAAGAAAGAACAACAAUGAACAAGAUACACAGGUGAAAUGCAAAGCAUUUUCUGUCAUGAUAAGAAAAAUAAGUAAAUAAGAGAAUGGGAGUAUGAAAUGUUGAUGGGAGAUUAAAAUUUUAGAUAGAAUGGUCUUAAGAAAAGGGUGAAUUUGCAAUCAAGACCCACAAGGAGAUGAAGAAUCUAGUUGCAUAUGUGUUUGUAGAGGGAGCAUUUUAAGCAGAAAAAAAAAAUGACAAGUGACUGAGGUAGGAGUGAGACAAGCAUAUCAGCUUAUAAGGGACACCAGUGAAGACCAAGCUGACUACACAGGGAUGAGGCCAGUGGGAGACAACUCAAUGAAGCAAAAGGAACAAAUCAUCUGUGACUUGGAGGACAUAACAAAUCCUUUAGCUUUUGCUCUGAGUAAAACAGGGAGCCAGUGAAAGUUCUGGGUAGAAGGGCAACGGUGUUAUAACAGCAUUAUAACCUUGUAACAGCAUUACCUUAUAAUGAGAUGACUAUGGAUAUAACUUUGUGCAUUUUGUUAUCAUUAGUGUAUUUCUAUCUCCG
rnacentral:lncRNA from 10 species